AUUGGGGACGCUUCGCAUUCA
rnacentral:miRNA from 1 species